rnacentral:rRNA from 1 species
GAUGAACGCUAGCGGCAGGCUUAAUACAUGCAAGUCGAGGGGCAGCACAGGUAGCAAUACUGGGUGGCGACCGGCAAACGGGUGCGGAACACGUACACAACUUACCUUCUGGUGGGGGAUAGCCUUUGGAAACGGAGAUUAAUACCCCAUAUUAUAUCUGAGCUGCAUGGUUUGUAUAUUAAAGAUUUAUUGCCGGAAGAUGGGUGUGCGUAUGAUUAGGUAGUUGGCGGGGUAACGGCCCACCAAGCCGACGAUCAUUAACUGGUGUGAGAGCACGACCAGUCACACGGGCACUGAGACACGGGCCCGACUCCUACGGGAGGCAGCAGUAAGGAAUAUUGGUCAAUGGACGGAAGUCUGAACCAGCCAUGCCGCGUGGAGGAUGAAGGUCCUCUGGAUUGUAAACUUCUUUUAUAGGGGGCGAAAAAAGGGAAUUCUUUCUCGUCUGACGGUACCCUAUGAAUAAGCACCGGCUAACUCCGUGCCAGCCGCCGCAGUAAUAC